rnacentral:lncRNA from 1 species
AACUCUAAAGUGAGAAUAGGACUAAAGAGGUGGUGGGUGAGUUGCAUGCAGGAUACCAAACGAUAAAUCGCGGGGGCUUCCAGAAGUUCCAGAGGAAUUACCUAGAAGGCAUCAUUCCAAGGAGGAAAGAGGCCAAAGCAUCACAUAGACUUCAUAAAACAAGGGACCUUGCCUAUCUUAUUCCCCACUGUAUCCCCAGUACAAAAAAUUAUGUCUGGCUCAUGAACAUUGGAAGCCAUAUGAUGAGAUAGUAGUGUCACGAGACAGAAGAAAAUGGGAUCUCUAAGUCACUGGAUGUAGGAGGAUUCCCACUGACUUG